rnacentral:rRNA from 1 species
AGUGAACGCUGGCGGCAGGCCUAACACAUGCAAGUCGAGCGGCAGCGCGGGGGCAACCCUGGCGGCGAGCGGCGGACGGGUGAGGAAUUCGUCGGAAUCUGCCUUUUUGUGGGGGAUAACGUAGGGAAACUUACGCUAAUACCGCAUACGUCCUACGGGAGAAAGUGGGGGACCGCAAGGCCUCACGCAGAAAGAUGAGCCGACGACCGAUUAGCUAGUUGGUGGGGUAAAGGCCCACCAAGGCGACGAUCGGUAGCUGGUCUGAGAGGAUGAUCAGCCACACUGGGACUGAGACACGGCCCAGACUCCUACGGGAGGCAGCAGUGGGGAAUAUUGGACAAUGGGCGCAAGCCUGAUCCAGCCAUGCCGCGUGUGUGAAGAAGGCCUUCGGGUUGUAAAGCACUUUUGUCCGGAAAGAAAUCCCUGGAGCUAAUACCUUCGGGGGAUGACGGUACCGGAAGAAUAAGCACCGGCUAACUUCG